GGCAGCAGGGGAGGAGCCUCCCCAGGAACUGACUGGGUCCAGGGCUUGGAGCUGCUCUCUGCAGUUGUGUGGGCUGUAGAGUGGAGGGCCAUCCCUCCUCACCUCAGCCCCAGCUCCCAAGCCUCUGGAGUCAAAGCCUGGGCCAGCUCCACCACUGUCAGAGCCACCUUGGCCUGUUGUUUAGAGGGCCUUAGCCAGCUC
rnacentral:lncRNA from 1 species